rnacentral:lncRNA from 1 species
ACUCCUGCAGCCCCUAAGGCUUCUCCUGUGACUCCUGCCGGUCCUGUAGCCGCACCCGCUAAGGCUCCUGUAAAACCUCAAACACCUGCUCCAGUGGUAACUCCCGUAUCUUCACCUCCGGCUUCUUCUCCGACGAAACAGACUGUUCCUGCUCCUGUUCAGACUCCAUUGGCUACGCCGCCACCUGCCGUCGCUCCUGUGAGCUCUCCACCUGCUGCAGUUCCAGUGAGCUCUCCACCAGCUAAAUCUCCUUCAGCACCUGCACCAGUUACUCCACCAACAAGCUCUCCUACGGAAAAUGCUCCUCCAGCUCCAGUGGCUGCACCAACCGCCGAGGUUCCUGCGCCGACUCCCAGCAAGAAGAAGUCGAAGAAGCACAAUGCUGCACCAGCUCCUGCUCCAGAGUUGUCAAGCCCACCUGCUCCACCAACUGAGGCACCUGGACCAAGCGCUGAAGCCAACUCACCUGGUCCCUCUGUGUCUGAUGAUCAGGUACAUUCUGGUGCUCUUCUUAAUUCAUUUUGCUUAGGCUACUGUCUAACAUGCGUCAGAGUGCAAUGCACUCUCAGAUCUAAAACUUUAGCUCAUAGAUCCACGGUCCACUGUUUUUCCUUCACCGCUAGAGGGGAAAAAAGGACAAAAUCUAUAAAUGGUAGUGCUCGCAUAGUGGAAACUGAUUAAAUUUUCUAAAAAUGAUGCUUCCCAUUGUUGAAAUGCUAAAAUGUCGGUGCUACGCUAUCUUGUUUAUUGAGAAGAGCGAAGCAAGCUUGCUCUGUGCUUCUCAAUUGCUGGAUCUGGUAAGAGUGUUGUUUCUAAUGUGAUAAACGCGGCAUUAGCGCUUGAGAUGCACGUUCCAGUCAUCAGUGGUCUGUCGCCACAUACUCUUCGGCUGUCACUCGUGGAUCUGCACAAUACGAAUACUUUCUGUCAUUCUGGUUCAGUUCAGGCGGGAUCCGUGGUUCAUUAGAGUAUUAGAUAGCAUAUUUGCCUUAAAACCAGGCCAAGUUGAUCGAUUAACGAAAUGUUUGAUAUGAAUGCAAUAGAAAUAGAAAUUUGUGCACAAUGCACGAACUCACCCUCCAUGAUUGCACUCCCUUCAAAAGGGAUCGAUUCAGUUCUCUUAGAAGAACGAUCCAUUGUUGGGUAAUUGAAAUUUUACGUCAAAAUAUCAGGCUAUUAACUCUUUGACAAGAAAAAAUUUCCCCUCUAAUUGAUUUGUAAUGUGGGUGGUAAGCUACCAAUUCCCCAGUAUAACAAAUUAGAAAUUCAAAUAAAGUUUAUUCUUAUUGAAUUGGGGCUGUGAAAUGCUGAAUUUGUUGAAUCAAAUUGCAGAGCGGAGCAGAGACCAUAAAGAGCCUACACAAGAUGGCUGGAAUUUUGGCGCUGGGAUGGGCAAUAGUGAGUUUGAUGUUCUAGAGAGAGCAAGGGUGAGAGAUGUUUAUCAUGUGAAACUACUGUUGCUCCUGUUAUAUUAUUUUAAUCUUUUUUUGGCCCC